rnacentral:rRNA from 1 species
UAGCAAUACGGCAGCGGCAGACGGGAGAGUAACACGUGGGAACGCGCCCUUCGGUUCGGGAUAACCCAGGGAAACUUGGGCUAAUACCGGAUACGCCCUUACGGGGAAAGAUUUAUUGCCGAAGGAACGGCCCGCGUCCGAUUAGCUAGUUGGUGAGGUAACGGCUCACCAAGGCGACGAUCGGUAGCUGGUCUGAGAGGAUGACCAGCCUCACUGGGACUGAGACACGGCCCAGACUCCUACGGGAGGCAGCAGUGGGGAAUAUUGGACAAUGGGCGCAAGCCUGAUCCAGCCAUGCCGCGUGGGUGAUGAAGGCCCUAGGG